GACGAACGCUGGCGGCGUGCUUAACACAUGCAAGUCGAACGGAAAGGCCCUGCUCUUGUGGGGUGCUCGAGUGGCGAACGGGUGAGUAACACGUGAGUAACCUGCCCUUGACUUUGGGAUAACUUCAGGAAACUGGGGCUAAUACCGGAUAGGAGCUCCUGCUGCAUGGUGGGGGUUGGAAAGUGUCGGCGGUUGGGGAUGGACUCGCGGCUUAUCAGCUUGUUGGUGGGGUAGUGGCUUACCAAGGCUUUGACGGGUAGCCGGCCUGAGAGGGUGACCGGCCACAUUGGGACUGAGAUACGGCCCAGACUCCUACGGGAGGCAGCAGUGGGGAAUAUUGCACAAUGGGCGGAAGCCUGAUGCAGCAACGCCGCGUGCGGGAUGACGGCCUUCGGGUUGUAAACCGCUUUCGCCUGUGACGAAGCGUGAGUGACGGUAAUGGGUAAAGAAGCACCGGCUAACUACGUG
rnacentral:rRNA from 1 species